rnacentral:rRNA from 1 species
UACAGAGGUGGCAAGCGUUGUUCGGAAUUACUGGGCGUAAAGGGCGCGUAGGCGGCCUUGUAAGUCUCGUGUGAAAGCCCUCGGCUUAACUGAGGAUCUGCACGGGAUACUGCGAGGCUUGAGUUCGGGAGAGGAAAGCGGAAUUCCGGGUGUAGCGGUGAAAUGCGUAGAUAUCCGGAGGAACACCAGUGGCGAAGGCGGCUUUCUGGACCGACACUGACGCUGAGGCGCGAAAGCUAGGGGAGCAAACGGGAUUAGAUACCCCGGUAGUCCUAGCUGUAAACGAUGAUCGCUGGGUGUGGGGGGUUUUUACUCCCCCCGUGCCGAAGCUAACGCAUUAAGCGAUCCGCCUGGGGAGUACGGUCGCAAGGCUG